AGUUACGUUUUGUUUUUAGGCUUCAUGACUUCAAUCAAUUAAUAUUGACAUAGUAAGAUCUGGAAACUUCUGAUCUGAUAAUUUUUCAUUCGUUGAGGAAAGGUUUUAAGUCCUGUAUAUAAAGGGGAAGGGAAGAUAAAAGACUUGAAGCAUCUUGGUCAGAAAAUCCAUGAGGAAAGAACUUUCAGUCUCACAUUGUGACGAUAAUUUAAUAGAAGCAAUGGCUCAGAAGAUGGAGGAAUUUUUUUAAAAAGAAAACAAAUUCUUUUCUGCUGUCACAGAAUGAGGUAGAUGAGACACGUGAAUGGGAGACAACUGUUCAGACUUGAUGGCGUACACCUUCAGACAAUCUGUGUUAUUAAAAAUAACAUUUGAAAAUACUGAAGCUGUAGUUCUUAGAUAUGGCCAAUGUGUAUUUUACCUAAUGAUUUAAACAUUUCUGAAAAACACUCUUAGCAAUUCAGAAGAACCUAAAUGAUGAAACUGAGAAUGAGAAGCUAGAUAUUCUUUAGCAAUCACUUCCAUGAAGAAGAUAAUCAACAUGAAAAAAAAUAACAAAAGCAACAAACUCUGUCUCUGUCUUCACAGUUCUGCAUUGGAAGCAAACAGCUUUGCUCCUCUUAGAGGUGUUGUCAGAGGUGUUGCCCCGCCCUUGCUCCAGAGGGCUGCUCACUUGCUUUUCACAUGAGGUGGCUCCAUAAUCCAAGAAAUUUAUAGAGGAAACAUGAAGAAUUUGUCAGUAAUUUUAACACGAUCCUUUCCAAGUGUAUUCGUUGAUUAUUAAAGAUCAGCCAUCUCCCUUGUUUCAUGGAAGAAAUUUUUAAAGGCUCAUUACAGCCCAGAUAAGGGAACAGAGACUGUCUUGUCAUUAGGCUUUUAUUGCAUUCAUAAGAUGUGUUGCAUCCCUAACAACAACUGAGUGAAUUCCAUUUCACCUUUUCUCCACCCACAGUGCUGCCUGCAUCAAUUAUCAGGGUUGAAAAAUGAUGUCUGGGUGUCAUUGUCAAAGUAAAAAAGGGCUUGACCUUGUCAAUCCGGUCACAAUUAAAGGGUGCAGUAUGACCUUGGAGUAGAGUUUUAAAAAGUUGGUCAGAUGGAAGACAAAUAAAAAUAUUGCUGGUUAAAUUGCAAAACUGUAAUAGUGGCAAUUUUACGGGAUGUACAACUAAAAACAGUCUAUUGAAACAAUAGUCUGGAGCCAUACAAUUUCAUUUGGAAAAUCAUUCUGAAUAAUUCAAUUAAACAACCAAGAGGAACAUGGCAUCACUAUAUGUUUUAUUUGUAGUUUAGAGUAUGUCUUGUCUCUGAGUUUAACAUUAUUUCAUUUUGGUGUAGAAGUUCUCAGUUAUGUACUUCUUCCCAUAAUUUCUCAUAGGAUGAAUUAGGAGUUGUCCCAUUGCAUCUGGAGAUUCCUUCCAGUGCCUCAAGGCUCUUUCUCCCCCAUCCAGCAUUAAAUUCCUCUGAAUUUUCAUUCCCUCCAUUGUGCAGCAUAAUGUGUGAAUGUCCUCUUAAAUAAAUUGUGUUCCUGGAGUUCUUCCUUAUUCUUUGAUUGAAGGUAGACACUAAAUAUUUAGUCAUUAGCGUCUCAUAAGUGUACAUGUCCAUUUUUUUAUGUAAGAAGUCACCAAUUAAAACUUCCUACUUUUGAGAAAAGAAAGUAUUCAUUUAAUUAAGAUUUAAUAAGUGUC